GAUGAACGCUGGCGGCGUGCUUAACACAUGCAAGUCGAACGAAGCACUUUAUUACGAUUUCUUCGGAAUGACGAUUUAGUGACUGAGUGGCGGACGGGUGAGUAACGCGUGGGUAACCUGCCUUAUACAGGGGGAUAACAGUUAGAAAUGACUGCUAAUACCGCAUAAGCGCACAGGAUUGCAUGAUCUGGUGUGAAAAACUCCGGUGGUAUAAGAUGGACCCGCGUCUGAUUAGCUGGUUGGUGAGGUAACGGCCCACCAAGGCGACGAUCAGUAGCCGACCUGAGAGGGUGACCGGCCACAUUGGGACUGAGACACGGCCCAAACUCCUACGGGAGGCAGCAGUGGGGAAUAUUGCACAAUGGGGGAAACCCUGAUGCAGCGACGCCGCGUGAGCGAAGAAGUAUUUCGGUAUGUAAAGCUCUAUCAGCAGGGAAGAAAAAAAUGACGGUACCUGACUAAGAAGCCCCGGCUAACUACGUG
rnacentral:rRNA from 1 species